UUUUUUUAUUUUUGGCCAUCCUGUGAAGUUCCUGCUGAGCCGGGGAUCCAAGCCACAGUUGCUACCUAUGCCACAUCUGUGGCAACGCUGGAUCCUUUAACCCAAUGGGCUGGCAGGGGAUUGAACCUGCGUCCUGGCACCGCACAGAUGCUGCUGAUCCCGUUGCACCACAGCAGGAACUCCUGUCACCUCUUUUUUUCCUCCUUCUAACUUAGACUGGAGGGGUCCUGUAUCUCCAUCUGAGUCCACCCCCGCCACCCGCACAAGUCUGGCCCAGAGGUACAGUCAGCAGCCCCAGGAUGAGCAGAACUUCUGGCCCAGGCUGGUGCAGGGACCAGAUCUGCACCUGUGCCCUGGCCUCGCCGACCCCCUGGGAGUCCUUCCCCUCAGUCCCCGCCUGGCUCAAGUCUCCCCCUUCAGGGUCCAGCUUCAAGGCUUCUCCAGCCAGCAAAGACCUUGUCUGCCCCUCCUGAGUCUGGGCCUGCAUCCGGCCCACCUCUGUGUCUGCAGCACCAGCUCCAGGCCCAGAGGCGAUGCACAGAGAGCAUUUGCUAAAAAAACUGAAAGAGCAAAUACUGCAAAAGCUCCUUGCCAUUCUAGCUGCUUCUUGAACAAACAGGAUUCAUUAUUUUAAUAAAUACGGGAUGCUCGGCUCAGGAAAUGGGGACAGCUUGGCGAGACGCUCAUUAAAGUUGCAAGCACAGAUUUCCAUGGAAAGCAGCUCCUGGCCUCCUCUGUGAAGUCUCUCUGGGCCACCGUGGCAGGAAACGGGGCGGCCUGCAGCUGGGGACGCAGCCCUUCCUCCCAGCCAGGCUGACUGGAGGUGUCGCAAAUAAGCCCGCCGCCCCAUUUUCUCCAAAUAACACCUGUCAGGAAUGUUGAUCUCAUGUCCCGGCCCCCGACCCUGCCCACGUCUGAAUGCUGGAUCCUGGCGUCAGGCACCGAUGCAAACCUCCCCUUCUGGAAGAAAGCUGGAGCUUCCUGGAGACCAGAGGUUUGAGGCCAAAGCUGGGCAGGUGCAGUCUGGCAAAAAGGAAAGGACUACAUCGGUGCCAGGAAGCCACUUUCCAAGUCACGGCGGCUCUCCGUGUGCCCCCCCAGCCCAGCAUCUCCAGGGCUUGCCCUGCCCUCCCAUCCUUAGUGGGGGAGGGGACGACCCCCGAGAACAGUGAAGAGUAGGGGGAUGCAGAGGGGUCCGCUGGCUUUCUGGGGGUGCCCCUUAGAGGAGGGGACCAGGAUGGGUAUUCAGUGGUGACCAGCAAGCCCCAGCUGUGGGCGUGGUCAGAUCUGAGUCUCAGAGCACCUGCAGUGCCUGGAGCUGGGCCAUCCCCACCCCCGUGGUGGAGAGGCACGUUGGGUGCCCUCCACCUGCUGCUGUUUAUGGGCCCAUAAAUCGGAACUCCACAGGAGGCAGGCCACUCCCAACCCAUUACUCACUGCCACCCCUCCACAGCCACUGAAGCCCCAAAUAAUGAAUUUCCCUGCGCCCCCUGGCCGGCUUUAUCAGUAACACCCAAGACCAGGCAAUUAGCAUUUAGAAGCAGGGCUGGAAGGGGUUGGGGGGGCUGGUCUCAUCACUGUAGCAGCAGAUUGAGCCUCUCCCUCUGGAAUCAGGCUGUUUGCCCUGGUUCCUGCAGGCAGAGCUGGAGAACAAAGCACCUUGUCCUCUGUUAACUGAUCACCCCAAUUGUCUUUAAAAGCUGCAUCCAUCAGGGGGGGAACAGGAAGUUCCAGGGUGGCUGCAAUCCAUCCUGAGGCUCAGAAAGGACAAUUUACUUGGGCUGAGCGCAGUUAAACGGUGCCUCGCUGUUUGAGAUGCUCUGUGUCAUAGAUCACCCAGCCUCCCCUGGACCGCUGUGCGGGGGCAGAGUGGAGGGUCCUGUCCCCCACGAGGUGGGCUUGAGCAAGUCAAAGUGACCUUGAAGAGCCUUUAAAAAUCUCCGUAAAUGGAGACGCAUCCUGUCGCGUGUGCAGGACACACACGUCUCACAAAUGGACCAUUACACGUCUACACCACGUAUCCGUGUCCAUGUGCUAUGGACAUGCACGAUACGGUGUCCAGAGGCACACGUGCCCACGUGUGGCACACACAGUGAUGCUCAGGUUGAAAACAGAACUUCACAGCAUUGGUUCCUUAAGCUCCAGCCUCACACUCAGCAGGUGGGGGCUCCCAGCGUGGCAGUCACCUGGGGAGGCUCUGAGGACAGAGGCUUGGGUGGGCACCCUGGGGCCGUGGUGGGCAGAACUUUGAGGUGCCGCACGUGCUCUCCGCACCCCCACCCCUUCCCACCAGCACACACUGGAGCCCCUGGGGCUUAGACACAUGAGUAGAGCCACGGCCUGGAUCGUCCCUCUUCUACCCGUCCUGCAGAGGAGUCAGCUGAGACAGGCUGCCCAAGGCCACCCAGGUGGCGACCUAACCCAGGACUCCACGUCUGCUCCUCGCCCAGCUCCCAGCUCCCCUCCGCGACCACACGCUUCCCUCGGUGGCCUCUGGGGUCAGCUGGAUCUGGAGGCACUAGGCAGAGGAAACAGGGGGUGGACGGCCAGGAUCUGAGGGCACGCUUCCCACCAGAAAGUAGUGGUGAAGAAAGAACGAAAUCCUGCCGUUUGCAGCAACAUGGAUGGACCUAGAGAUUAUCAUACGGAGUGAAGAAAGUCAGACAGAGAAGAACAAAGACCAUACGAGGUCACUUAUGUGUGGCACCUAAGAAAAUAACAUACGUGAACUUACAAAACAGAAAUAGACUCGCAGACAUGGAAGACAAACGUAUGGUUAUCAAGAGAAAGAGGAGGGGGUAAAUUAGGAGGCUGGGUUAACACAC
rnacentral:lncRNA from 1 species